rnacentral:rRNA from 1 species
GAUGAACGCUGGCGGCGUGCUUAACACAUGCAAGUCGAACGGAAAGGCCCAAGCUUGCUUGGGUACUCGAGUGGCGAACGGGUGAGUAACACGUGGGUGAUCUGCCCUGCACUUCGGGAUAAGCCUGGGAAACUGGGUCUAAUACCGGAUAGGACCGCUUCUUGGAUGUUGUGGUGGAAAGUUUUGUCGGUGUGGGAUGAGCUCGCGGCCUAUCAGCUUGUUGGUGGGGUAAUGGCCUACCAAGGCGUCGACGGGUAGCCGGCCUGAGAGGGUGUACGGCCACACUGGGACUGAGGUACGGCCCCGACUCCUACGGGAGGCAGCAGUGGGGAAUCUUGCACAAUGGGCGCAAGCCUGAUGCAGCGAGGCCGCGUGGGGGAUGACGGCCUUCGGGUUGUAAAAUCCUUGCGCUAGGGACGAAGCGUUUUGUGACGGUACCUGGAGAAGAAGCACCGGCUAACUACGUG